rnacentral:rRNA from 1 species
CGAUAGCGUAUAUUAAAGUUGUUGCAGUUAAAAAGCUCGUAGUUGGAUUUCUGGUCGGAAGCUCCUGUCCUCUGAUGAGCGUACAAGUGCGUCCUACCAUCCUUCUGUUAACCUUUAAGGCUUUCGCGGCUUUCUAGGGGCUCAGAUAUUUUACCUUGAGAAAAUUAGAGUGUUUCAGGCAGGCUAGCGCCGGAAUACAUUAGCAUGGAAUAAUGGAAUAGGACUUUUGCCUCUUCUGUUGGUCAUGAGGCUCGAGUAAUGAUUAAUAGGGAUAGUUGGGGGCAUUAGUACUUAACUGUCAGAGGUGAAAUUCUCGGAUUUGUUAAAGACUAACUUAUGCGAAAGCAUUUGCCAAGGAUGUUUUCAUUAA